rnacentral:rRNA from 1 species
UCAGAGUUUUUGUCCUGGCUCAGAUUGAACGCUGGCGGCAUGCCUUACACAUGCAAGUCGAACGGCAGCACGGGUGCUUGCACCUGGUGGCGAGUGGCGAACGGGUGAGUAAUACAUCGGAACAUGUCCUGUAGUGGGGGAUAGCCCGGCGAAAGCCGGAUUAAUACCGCAUACGAUCUACGGAUGAAAGCGGGGGACCUUCGGGCCUCGCGCUAUAGGGUUGGCCGAUGGCUGAUUAGCUAGUUGGUGGGGUAAAGGCCUACCAAGGCGACGAUCAGUAGCUGGUCUGAGAGGACGACCAGCCACACUGGGACUGAGACACGGCCCAGACUCCUACGGGAGGCAGCAGUGGGGAAUUUUGGACAAUGGGCGAAAGCCUGAUCCAGCAAUGCCGCGUGUGUGAAGAAGGCCUUCGGGUUGUAAAGCACUUUUGUCCGGAAAGAAAUCCCUGGCUCUAAUACAGUCGGGGGAUGACGGUACCGGAAGA